GAUGAACGCUGGCGGCGUGCCUAAUACAUGCAAGUCGAGCGAACAGACGAGGAGCUUGCUCCUCUGACGUUAGCGGCGGACGGGUGAGUAACACGUGGACAACCUACCUAUAAGACUGGGAUAACUUCGGGAAACCGGAGCUAAUACCGGAUAAUAUAUUGAACCGCAUGGUUCAAUAGUGAAAGACGGUUUUGCUGUCACUUAUAGAUGGAUCCGCGCCGCAUUAGCUAGUUGGUAAGGUAACGGCUUACCAAGGCGACGAUGCGUAGCCGACCUGAGAGGGUGAUCGGCCACACUGGAACUGAGACACGGUCCAGACUCCUACGGGAGGCAGCAGUAGGGAAUCUUCCGCAAUGGGCGAAAGCCUGACGGAGCAACGCCGCGUGAGUGAUGAAGGUCUUCGGAUCGUAAAACUCUGUUAUUAGGGAAGAACAAAUGUGUAAGUAACUAUGCACGUCUUGACGGUACCUAAUCAGAAAGCCACGGCUAACUACGUG
rnacentral:rRNA from 1 species